AAGCGAAGUGGUGACAUGGAGCGAACCCCAAAAAUAAACGUCUCAGUUCGGAUUGUAGUCUGCAACUCGACUACAUGAAGCUGGAAUCGCUAGUAAUCGCGGAUCAGAAUGCCGCGGUGAAUACGUUCCCGGGUCUUGUACACACCGCCCGUCACACCAUGGGAGCUGGUAACACCCGAAGUCAGUAGUCUAACCGCAAGGAGGACGCUGCCGAAGGUGGGAUUAGCGACUGGGGUGAAGUCGUAACAAGGUAUC
rnacentral:rRNA from 1 species